AUUGAACGCUGGCGGCAUGCCUUACACAUGCAAGUCGAACGGCAGCACGGGAGCAAUCCUGGUGGCGAGUGGCGAACGGGUGAGUAAAGUAUCGGAACGUGCCCAGUCGUGGGGGAUAACGUAGCGAAAGUUACGCUAAUACCGCAUACGAUCUAUGGAUGAAAGCGGGGGAUCGCAAGACCUCGCGCGAUUGGAGCGGCCGAUAUCAGAUUAGGAAGUUGGUGGGGUAAAGGCUCACCAAGCCGACGAUCUGGAGCUGGUCUGAGAGGACGACCAGCCACACUGGGACUGAGACGCGGCCCAGACUCCUACGGGAGGCAGCAGUGGGGAAUUUAGGACAAUGGGCGAAAGCCUGAUCCAGCCAUGCCGCGUGCAGGAUGAAGGCCUUCGGGUUGUAAACUGCUUUUGUACGGAACGAAAAGGUUUGGCCUAAUAAGCUGAGCUCAUGACGGUACCGUAAGAAUAAGCACCGGCUAACUACGUGCCAGCAGCCGCAGUAA
rnacentral:rRNA from 1 species